rnacentral:siRNA from 1 species
GAGAAACGGAUAGGUUGAGAAUCA